rnacentral:rRNA from 1 species
CUGGAGGGGAGAGUGGCGAACGGGUGAGUACACGUAGGUGACCUGCCUCGAAGACGAGGAUAACCACUGGAAACGGUGGCUAAUACUCGAUGGUCUCGAUAAUUCGGCUUAUCGAGUAAAGGCUCUGGCGCUUUGAGAGGGACCUGCGGCCCAUCAGCUAGAUGGUAGGGUAACGGCCUACCAAGGCGAAGACGGGUAGGGGGUGUGAGAGCGUGACCCCCCACACUGGCUCUGGGACACGGGCCAGACUCCUACGGGAGGCAGCAGUGAGGAAUAUUGCGCAAUGAGCGAUAGCUAUACGCAGCACCGCCGCGUGUUUGAUGAAGGCCUUCGGGUCGUAAAACCCUUUUUCUGGGGAAGAAGUAAGGACGGCACCCCAGGAAUAAUCCUUCGGCUAACUAUGUGCCAGCAGCCGCGGUAAUACAUAGGAGGCAAGCGUUAUCCGGAUUUACUGGGCGUAAAGAGCGUGNAGGCGGCUUCGUAAGUUGGACGUGAAAGCUCCCGGCUUAACUGGGAGAGGCCGUUCAAUACUGCGGGGCUUGAGGGCAGCAGAGGGGGGUGGAAUNUCCGGUGUAGUGGUGAAAUGCGUAGAUAUCAGGAGGAACACCGAUGGCGAAGGCAGCUUCCUGGCCAUGUCCUGACGCUGAGGUGCGAAAGCUAGGGUAGCGAACGGGAUUAGAUACCCCGGUAGUCCUAGCCGUAAACGAUGGAUACUAGGUGUUAGAGGUAUCGACCCCUCUAGUGCCGAAGCAAACGCAUUAAGUAUCCCGCCUGGGGAGUACGGCCGCAAGGUUGAAACUCAAAGGAAUUGACGGGGGCCCGCACAAGCGGUGGAGCAUGUGGUUUAAUACGUCACUAACCGUAGAACCUCACCCAGGCUUGACAUCUGCUGAAAGCGCCUGAAAGGGUGGCCCCGGUAUUUUUAUAUCGCAGCAAGACAGGUGUUGCAUGGCUGUCGUCAGCUCGUGCCGUGAGAUGUUGGGUUAAGUCCCGCAACGAGCGCAACCCUCAUCCGAUGUUGCCAGCGUAAAGUCGGGAACUCUUCGGAAACUGCCCGUGCAAGCGGGAGGAAGGUGGGGAUGACGUCAAGUCAGCAUGGCCCUUACGCCUGGGGCUACACACAUGCUACAAUGGAUGUAAACAAUGGGCAGCAAGGCCGCGAGGUGGAGCAAAUCUCAAAAAUACAUCCUCAGUUCGGAUUGCAGUCUGCAACUCGACUGCAUGAAGUCGGAAUCGCUAGUAACCGCAGGUCAGCUAAACUGCGGUGAAUACGUUCCCGGGCC